GGGAUCGCCUCAAAUGCUAGAUAC
rnacentral:siRNA from 1 species